UGGCGAUAGAUCAUUCAAGUUUCUGACCUAUCAGCUUUCGACGGUAGUGUAUUGGACUACCGUGGCAGUGACGGGUAACGGGGAAUUAGGGUUCGAUUCCGGAGAGGGAGCCUGAGAAACGGCUACCACAUCUAAGGAAGGCAGCAGGCGCGCAAAUUACCCAAUCCUGACUCAGGGAGGUAGUGACAAGAAAUAACAACACUGGAAAUUUUAUUUCUAGUGAUUGGAAUGAUGGGAAUUUAAACUCCUUUCAGAGUAACAAUUGGAGGGCAAGUCUGGUGCCAGCAGCCGCGGUAAUUCCAGCUCCAAUAGCGUAUAUUAAAGUUGUUGCAGUUAAAAAGCUCGUAGUUGGAUAUCUGCUGGAAGCAAUCAGUCCGCCCUCUUUGUAGGGUGUGCACUUGAUGAAUUCUGGCAUCUAUUAUGUCCCGUAAUACGGAUGAAGCUAUUGAACGAAAGUUCAAUAGACUGUCCGGUUUUACUGGGAUAAUACUGUUACUUUGAGAAAAUUAGAGUGUUUGAAGCAGGCUUGUAUUGCCUUGAAUACUGCAGCAUGGAAUAACAAUAUAGGAUUUCGGUUCUAUUUUGUUGGUUUCUAGGACUGAAAUAAUGAUUAAUAGGGACAGUUGGGGGCAUUCGUAUUUAACUGUCAGAGGUGAAAUUCUUAGAUUUGUUAAAGACGAACUACUGCGAAAGCAUUUGCCAAAGAUGUUUUCAUUAAUCAAGAACGAAAGUU
rnacentral:rRNA from 1 species